GCGAGGGCAAGCCAUCUGAUAAUGAAGAAGGUAGUUUGUCAAUUACCUUACCUACGAGUCUCAUUCCUCCAGUUAUGCGAUAAUUUAAACGUGCAGUCCCUUGAAGGGUUAAAUACCCAUGGGACACAAAAGGGUUGGUUUUAUUCCUAAAACGGGAUUCCCUACGUGGCGUUCCCUUUCUAGGGUUUAUGCAUGAUGCUAUUUUAUUAAAACAAUAAAAUAUGCAAUUUGAAAUGAAACGUGACCUAAGGAACCCUUUAUUUGCCAGGGUAGGCCUAGAAUGGUUUGCAAUCAUUAAUCUACGAAUGCAAUAUACCAAAAUCUUUAAACGUGCAUAACCUAUCUACAAGGGUAGGUUCUAAAAGAAAGUCAUGCCAGACCUCUUAUUUCCUAAUGUUUGUGAAUGCAAAAGACAAGAGACAAGGAAACGUGAGUUCAACACAUAAUCACAUAACACAUUUGGACAAAUAGAUAAGGCAAUAAAGAUAAAUAAGGAAAGAGGGUUGGGACCCCUCCCCUCGUGAAUAGUGUCCCUAGUUCAGGAUAAGGCUGACUCUACCCUAGGCAAUUCUAAUAUGGAUGCAUGAGGCUUGGCUUACUAAUGCAUCUAGACUCGAUAGGUCAUAGGCCCCCGAGCCUUCAGACUUAGAAACCAAGGGUCAUCAAUCCCAAGGUUCUUCGUCGGUGGCUCGAGCGAUUCCCCAAACACCGCUACGCACACAUCGUGUCACGGCUACGUGUUUGAGUGAAUCUAUCAAAACCUCAAUCUUCGACCAAAAGCUAAAGGCUAUCAACCAAUAGCUUUAAGCGGAAGAUUGAGUGACCCAUUGGAACAUGCUACACACACAUCGUGUCGUGAUCACAUGUCCAAGUGAGUCACCUAAUCCUAAUAGGGUGGAGUGGCGUGACAAGCCACUAAAGAAAAAUAAAAGGG
rnacentral:lncRNA from 1 species